rnacentral:rRNA from 1 species
CCCGCACAAGCGGUGGAGCAUGUGGUUUAAUUCGAAGCAACGCGAAGAACCUUACCAGGUCUUGACAUCCUCUGACAACCCUAGAGAUAGGGCUUCCCCUUCGGGGGCAGAGUGACAGGUGGUGCAUGGUUGUCGUCAGCUCGUGUCGUGAGAUGUUGGGUUAAGUCCCGCAACGAGCGCAACCCUUGAUCUUAGUUGCCAGCAUUCAGUUGGGCACUCUAAGGUGACUGCCGGUGACAAACCGGAGGAAGGUGGGGAUGACGUCAAAUCAUCAUGCCCCUUAUGACCUGGGCUACACACGUGCUACAAUGGGCAGAACAAAGGGCAGCGAAGCCGCGAGGCUAAGCCAAUCCCACAAAUCUGUUCUCAGUUCGGAUCGCAGUCUGCAACU